CUCGCAGCUACCAUGCAGUCGACGGUAGCACAGAGGAGCUUGCUCCUUGGAUGACGAGUGGCGGACGGGUGAGUAAUGUCUGGGAAACUGCCCGAUGGAGGGGGAUAACUACUGGAAACGGUAGCUAAUACCGCAUAACGUCGCAAGACCAAAGAGGGGGACCUUCGGGCCUCUUGCCAUCGGAUGUGCCCAGAUGGGAUUAGCUAGUAGGUGGGGUAACGGCUCACCUAGGCGACGAUCCCUAGCUGGUCUGAGAGGAUGACCAGCCACACUGGAACUGAGACACGAUCCAAACUAAUACGGGAGGCAGCAGUGGGGAAUAUUGCACAAUGGGCGCAAGCCUGAUGCAGCCAUGCCGCGUGUAUGAAGAAGGCCUUCGGGUUGUAAAGUACUUUCAGCGAGGAGGAAGGCAUUGUGGUUAAUAACCGCAGUGAUUGACGUUACUCGCAGAAGAAGCACCGGCUAACUCCGUGCCAGCAGCCGCGGUAAUACGGAGGGUGCAAGCGUUAAUCGGAAUUACUGGGCGUAAAGCGCACGCAGGCGGUCUGUCAAGUCGGAUGUGAAAUCCCCGGGCUCAACCUGUGAACUGCAUCCGAUACUGGCAGGCUAGAGUCUUGUAGAGGGGGGUAGAAUUCCAGGUGUAGCGGUGAAAUGCGUAGAGAUCUGGAGGAAUACCGGUGGCGAAGGCUGCCCCCUGGACAAAGACUGACGCUCAGGUGCGAAAGCGUGUGGAGCAAACAGGAUUAGAUACCCUGUAGUCCACGCCGUAAACGAUGUCGACUUGGAGGUUGUGCCCGUUGAGCGUGCCUUCAGGAGCUAACGCGUUAAGUCGACCGCCUGAGAGUACGGCUAGUAAAGUUAAAACUCAAUGAAUUGACGGGGGCCCGCACAGCGUGUAGCAUGUGUUUAAUUCGAUGCACGCGAAGAACCUACCUACUCUUGACAUCCAGCGAACUUAGCAGA
rnacentral:rRNA from 1 species